CAGUAGCCGCGGUAAUACGAAGGGUGCAAGCGUUACUCGGAAUUACUGGGCGUAAAGCGUGUGUAGGUGGUUGUUUAAGUCUGUCGUGAAAGCCCUGGGCUCAACCUGGGAAUUGCGAUGGAUACUGAGCGACUAGAGUGCGGUAGAGGAUAGUGGAACUUCCGGUGUAGCAGUGAAAUGCGUAGAGAUCGAAAGGAACAUCUGUGGCGAAGGCGACUAUCUGGGCCAGCACUGACACUGAGACACGAAAGCGUGGGGAGCAAACAGGAUUAGAGACCCCCGUAGUCCCUGUCUCUUAUAC
rnacentral:rRNA from 1 species